rnacentral:rRNA from 1 species
AGUGAACGCUGGCGGUAGGCCUAACACAUGCAAGUCGAACGGCAGCACAGUAAGAGCUUGCUCUUACGGGUGGCGAGUGGCGGACGGGUGAGGAAUACAUCGGAAUCUACUUUUUCGUGGGGGAUAACGUAGGGAAACUUACGCUAAUACCGCAUACGACCUACGGGUGAAAGCAGGGGAUCUUCGGACCUUGCGCGAUUGAAUGAGCCGAUGUCGGAUUAGCUGGUUGGCGGGGUAAAGGCCCACCAAGGCGACGAUCCGUAGCUGGUCUGAGAGGAUGGUCAGCCACACUGGAACUUAGACACGGUCCAGACUCCUACGGGAGGCAGCAGUGUGGAAUAUUGGACAAUGGGCGCAAGCCUGAUCCAGCCAUACCGCGUGGGUGAAGAAGGCCUUCGGGUUGUAAAGCCCUUUUGUUGGGAAAGAAAAGCAGCAGGUUAAUACCCCGCUGUUCUGACGGUACCCAAAGAAUAAGCACCGGCUAACUUCGUG